AUGGAAUUGAUUUGUUCUUGAGUUCCUAGACUCAAAGUACAUCGUCGAGACCCAUACAAGAUCAUCCAAGGUGAUUUAAGAUAUUUCAACCGAUUAAAUCACGUGUUCUUGGUUGCCAUGGAUUAAUUCUUCAAGGAGGUUCCAUUUCAAUCGCUUAGUUUUGUUAUAUUUCAUGUUUCUAAUACUUUUAUCGAUUGGUUUGGUUUUGUUGAGUUCUUGUAUAAUCAUUGAUUCUUAGUCAUCUUUUAUUGAUCCUACUUGUCUUGUUCAUACUCUGAACCUUCCUACUUAUACAAAUUCAAACAACGAGGAAUCAAAGAAAUUUCACUUGGUUUUACUGAUCUCUCCCUCAACAUAGAUUGAGCAACGACAUUGUAAAUAGGAAUUAAAACUAUCAAAAUGAUAGGUCUUGUCUUGUAAUUAAGAAAGAUUUUGGACACCAAACCUAACAAGACGCUCAAAUUAGAUGGUCCAAUGUCCACAGUUUCAAACCAAUAUUCCCUUAAAUUUUUAUAUCAGAGUAUCAAAGCAGGGCUAUCAUCCAAAGUGUAAGGACCAAAUGCGAUUUCUUAGUUUGCCAAAACACUU
rnacentral:lncRNA from 1 species